UACGGAGGGUGCGAGCGUUGUUCGGAAUUACUGGGCGUAAAGCGCGCGCAGGUGGUCUUUCAAGUCAGUGGUGAAAGCCCGGAGCUCAACUCCGGAAAUGCCAUUGAAACUGUGAGACUUGAGGAUGAGAGAGGUGAGUGGAAUUCCCAGUGUAGAGGUGAAAUUCGUAGAUAUUGGGAAGAACACCGGUGGCGAAGGCGGCUCACUGGCUCAUAUCUGACGCUCAGGCGCGACAGCGUGGGGAGCAAACAGG
rnacentral:rRNA from 1 species